ACCUCCUACACCAGCCCAGGCCUCCAGAGGCUGAAGGACUCUCCGCAGACAGGUAAGAACACAGCGGCCACUGAUCCUGCCGCCCAGACCACCCAGGCCCGGUGUGCAGGAGAGAGGGGCCCAGAGCCCAGGUCACCCCCAAGACACACACAUCCAACACACAUAUAUACACCAACAUGAACACACAUGCACAUACACCUAACACACACACACAUACCCAAUAUACACAUGCACACACACCUGACACACGCAUACACAUGUACAUGACACAGAUGCAUGAGCACACGUCACACACACACCCAACACACUCUACACAGACACACAACCCAACACACAUGCAUACACACCCAACACAACCUACACAAACACACCUGAUAUACACAUGCACACACACCCAACACCCAUGCACACACAUCCCAGACAAGCAAACAUGUACACUUACAACACGCACGACUUACACAUGUGCACGUACCCAACACACACACACCCUACACACGCACCCUAUGUACACACCCUACACACCUGAGACACGCACCCAACACACACACACCCCGAAUGCACACACAUGCACUCGACACACAUGCCCAGCUCACACAAACACACAUGUGCACGUAACACAAUCACACCCAACACACAUGCAAGUGUAUAUCUCACACGCCUACACAGCCCUCCAACACACACACCCACAAUGCACAUGGACACACCUGACAUGUAUGCACACACCCCUGAGACACGCACAUACCUGCACACACGUGCACACACACAACACACAUACGUGUACCCACACACACGUGUGUACACAUGCCCACAGCGG
rnacentral:lncRNA from 1 species